AAUCAACUCGUGCUGCAAGACUUUAAUACCCGAAACCCAUGUUUUCUUCACUUCCUCGCCUACUCCCGUGCUCGUCUCCUCCCCUCUCUGCUCAUCCUUCUCCUCUCCUCUGCGCCUCCGCAUCUCCUCUCUGGUUGCCUUUGCCACGCUCCCUCUCACCUCCGCGCGCCGUGCUCGUCCACCUCCCCUCUUGCUGCGCCCCAACUUCCCCUCCCCAGUGUUGCACUCCCUCAUGAAGAAUCCGGUGGCGGCGAGUCCAGCUCCGGUGGCGGAGAGGCCAGAUCCUCUGGUGGUGUGGCCGGAUCCGGUGGCGGAGAGGACCGAUCCGGCGGUGGCGAGGAGGGUCUCUUGCAAGAGGAUAGAUCCACCGGUGGCAAGGCCGGAUCCGGUGGCGGAGAGGAUGGAUCAGGUGCGGCAUCUGGCGGCGGCCGACGACAUCGCCCUCCUAGAGUCAUUGUUGAGUGUAAUUGUAAUAUUUUGAAAAGUGUAAGACUUAAUUGCAAAGUUGCCUUGUGAAUGAGGCCGCGCCAAUCUUUUCGGCACGAAGGAAGUACCAUAAAAGAGCGCAUUCUGACAGCCCAAAAAUGGUUCGUAGCAGGAGAGUUUAUUUUUGCUUUUUCUUGUAACCCCUCUUAUUUUCAAUCUCUUGACUUUUAAUUUUAUUAGCUUUUAAUUUUAACUUCUACAUCUAUCAACUUUUAAUA